rnacentral:lncRNA from 1 species
UAUACAAGUUUAUAAUGUAAGAGAGAUAUUUCAAAAUUUUGAAAUAUGAUGUCGUCGCAUAUCCAAUUGAUGAGCAACUAUAGAUGACCAAAAUGUGAUGAACUGAGUUACAGUUGACGUAUGUGAUGACAGUGAUGUACUAUGAUCAUGUCCAUGUAUACUACUUUGUAUAUGACAUAAGUUCUAAUUAAUUCAAUCAAUAAUUAAGUAUUAAUUAAUAUAGCAAUAGCCUAUAACACACACAAGUAACAACGCUAUUUGGAACUAGUUGUUGAGGUUGUUUGUUCCUUUGCUUGGUCCAGAUGGUGGAACUUUCCCCUUUGGAAGCAUAUUGAGAAUCAAUGGCCCAUAUGCUGN